rnacentral:lncRNA from 1 species
UGGCGUACCUGGGAUUACAGGCACCAGCCACCAAGCCCAGAACCACUGAUGGUGACAACAGAACUCAGGGAAUGUUAGUCAAUUAACAGCUGCCAAGUUACCCAGAGAAGCAGAUGGUAUAUCUGAUCAUGUCCUACAAAAUGUGAAAAGGGAAUACUCAAAGAUGUUUGCUCAAAUAUGCUAGAGUUUCCACACAAAAGGCUAUAAUGGCAACCAUAUAUAUUUUUACAUCUUCUAUGUUUGCUUUUUACUCCAGACUGAAGACACUCGCAGGCAGGAGCUGUUUCCCCAAUAUCCUUACCACCUGUGCCUAGCACACUGUAA